UUCUCUCCUGGAAACGGGUGGUAAUGCCGGAUGCUCCAGUUGAUCGCAUGGUCUUCUGGGAAAGCUUUCGCGGUAUGGGAUGGGGUCGCGUCCUAUCAGCUUGACGGCGGGGUAACGGCCCACCGUGGCUUCGACGGGUAGCCGGCCUGAGAGGGCGACCGGCCACAUUGGGACUGAGAUACGGCCCAGACUCCUACGGGAGGCAGCAGUGGGGAAUAUUGCACAAUGGGCGCAAGCCUGAUGCAGCGACGCCGCGUGAGGGAUGGAGGCCUUCGGGUUGUAAACCUCUUUUAUCGGGGAGCAAGCGAGAGUGAGUUUACCCGUUGAAUAAGCACCGGCUAACUACGUGCCAGCAGCCGCGGUAAUACGUAGGGUGCAAGCGUUAUCCGGAAUUAUUGGGCGUAAAGGGCUCGUAGGCGGUUCGUCGCGUCCGGUGUGAAAGUCCAUCGCUUAACGGUGGAUCCGCGCCGGGUACGGGCGGGCUUGAGUGCGGUAGGGGAGACUGGAAUUCCCGGUGUAACGGUGGAAUGUGUAGAUAUCGGGAAGAACACCACAA
rnacentral:rRNA from 1 species